rnacentral:SRP_RNA from 1 species
CCGUGCUAGGUGGGGCGCUAGCGGUGCCCUGAGUUCCGAUUCGUCGGGAUGACCCGCAAUCCGCUAUAGCGGGGCUGAUGCUCUGUCGAGGGCUGUUCGCGUCGGGCCCCCUGGCCCGAGCGACGGCGUUGAGGGCUGGGUCCUCUGCAACGCUGCGCCGUGAACUUGGUCAGGUCCGGAAGGAAGCAGCCAUAAGCGUGCCGGUAGCGUGUGCCGGAGGGCAACCUGGCCGGAGCCGUCUGCCCGGGCAAGCCCCGCCGCGAUGGUUCGACACAGAGCGCACGG